GACGAACGCUGGCGGCGUGCUUAACACAUGCAAGUCGAACGGUGAAGGGGUCUGCUUUUGUGGGCCCUGGAUGAGUGGCGAACGGGUGAGUAACACGUGAGUAACCUUCCCCCUUCUUCUGGAUAACCGCAUGAAAGUGUGGCUAAUACGGGAUAUUCUGGGUCUGUCGCAUGAUGGGUCUGGGAAAGAUUGCGCCUUUGGGUGUUUUUGGUGGGGGAUGGGCUCGCGGCCUAUCAGCUUGUUGGUGGGGUGAUGGCCUACCAAGGCGGUGACGGGUAGCCGGCCUGAGAGGGUGGACGGUCACACUGGGACUGAGACACGGCCCAGACUCCUACGGGAGGCAGCAGUGGGGAAUAUUGCACAAUGGGCGCAAGCCUGAUGCAGCGACGCCGCGUGAGGGAUGGAGGCCUUCGGGUUGUAAACCUCUUUCGCCAGUGAAGCAGGCCUGCUCCUUGUGGGUGGGUUGACGGUAGCUGGAUAAGAAGCGCCGGCUAACUACGUG
rnacentral:rRNA from 1 species